UACGGAGGUGGCAAGCGUUGCUCGGAAUCACUGGGCGUAAAGGGCGCGUAGGCGGCCCCUUUUGUCGCGUGUGAAAGCCCCGGGCUCAACCUGGGAGGUGCGCGCGAAACGGGGGGGCUUGAGUUCGGGAGAGGAGCGUGGAAUUCCCAGUGUAGAGGUGAAAUUCGUAGAUAUUGGGAAGAACACCGGUGGCGAAGGCGGCGCUCUGGACCGAGACUGACGCUGAGGCGCGAAAGCGUGGGGAGCAAACAGG
rnacentral:rRNA from 1 species